CCUACGGGGGGCAGCAGUGAGGAAUAUUGGGCAAUGGAGGCAACUCUGACCCAGCCAUGCCGCGUGAGUGAAGAAGGUUUUCGGUUUGUAAAGCCCUUUCGGAUGUGACGAUGAUGACGGUAGCAUCUAACGAAGCCCCGGCUAACUUCGUGCCAGCAGCCGCGGUAAUACGACGGGGGCAGGCGUUGUUCGGAAUUACUGGGCGUAAGGGGAGUGUAGGCGGUUUAGUAAGUUAGGGGUGAAAGCCCAGGGCUUAACUUUGGAAUUGCCAUUAUAACAAGUAGACUAGAAUUACAGAGAGGAUAGUGGAAUACCCGGUGUAGAGGUGAAAUGCGUAGAUAUUGGGUAGAACACCAGUGGCGAAGGCGACUAGCUGGCUGUACAUUGACGCUGAGGCUCGAAAGCAUGGGGAUCAAACAGGAUUAGAUACCCGAGUAGUC
rnacentral:rRNA from 1 species